GGGCCCAUUGGAACAGGUGUUCCACGUUAUCUCCAAAAUAACAAUCGGGGUUCGAGUCCCCAUGGGUCCACCA
rnacentral:tRNA from 1 species